rnacentral:sRNA from 1 species
AGACACUAAAGAAUAGUUUUGUACCAUCAGAUAAAUAAGAAGGCCUGCUUUCAAAGCAGGCCUUCUUAUUUA